rnacentral:rRNA from 1 species
AUUGAACGCUGGCGGCAGGCCUAACACAUGCAAGUCGAACGAGUGGCGGACGGGUGAGUAAUGUCUGGGAAACUGCCCGAUGGAGGGGGAUAAAUACUGGAAACGGUAGCUAAUACCGCAUACCAUCGGAUGUGCCCAGGUGGGUAGAGCUUGGAGGGGGGGUAACGGCUCACCUAGGCGACGAUCCCUAGCUGGUCUGAGAGGAUGACAAGCCACACUGGAACGGCGACACGGUCCAGACUCCUACGGGAGGCAGCAGGGGGGAAUAUUGCACAAUGGGCGCAAGCCUGAUGCAGCCAUGCCGCGUGUGUGAAGAAGGCCUGCGGGUUGUAAAGUACUUUCAGCGAGGAGGCGUUACUCGCAGAAGAAGCACCGGCUAACUCCGUGCCAGCAGCCGCGGUAAUUC